CUGGAUGUGAUGCAUAGUAACAUCUGACUGACUGUGAAGGUGUUUGUAUUCAUACUGUCUGAUCCAG
ensembl:snoRNA